UACGUAGGGGGCUAGCGUUGUCCGGAUUUAUUGGGCGUAAAGAGCGUGUAGGCGGCCAGGUAGGUCCGCUGUGAAAGUCCGAGGCUCAACCUCGGAAUGUCGGCGGAAACCCUCUGGCUAGAGUCCGGAAGAGGAGAGUGGAAUUCCCGGUGUAGCGGUGAAAUGCGCAGAUAUCGGGAAGAACACCCGUGGCGAAGGCGGCUCUCUGGAACGGUACUGACGCUGAGACGCGAAGGCGUGGGGAGCGAACGGG
rnacentral:rRNA from 1 species